rnacentral:lncRNA from 1 species
GAAUGACCUGGCACUAUUAGCAGACAUGUUUAGCCGGCUCGACUACCAAUAUAUCCUCUUCAACGCCUUUACUUUACUAUACCCCCGGAUUUAACUCGCUUACAUGUCAAAGACUCAUUUUGAUACACCAGGAAAUUAGAGCAAUACCGAAAACGAUGAUUAAUCUAAAUAAUUCUUGACUAAAAUUUUUAUACUUCGGAGUACUAUAUAACUUUUGUCGGCUGUUCGCCAAACCGGAGUUGGAGCAUGAAAAUUACACGAACGGUGAACUAGUGAAUACCAUGAAGAAAGAAGGGCAUAGUGUUCAAAGUGAGUAUGCAAAAGAGCACCGCAGCUACUGGUCAGUUGGAGAAACAGCAAAUGAAAAUGAAUGCACUUGGCGUUGGCAAAUGGCAUGAACAAACUGCCCCCAAUCUAUGACUACUGCCCGUCACGUGCCCAACCCCAACAAGAGCUUACCCUCCUCUCUCUCUCUCUCUCUCUCUCUAAUCCUCUCUCCCAUUCUCCUCUCUCGUCUUCUUCACCGCCAUGAGAAGACGACGAAAAAGAACCAAACUUUAGAGACAGACCCAGCAGUCCCACCAUUCUUAGUUUCUUCUCUGCCAGUCUUCCAGACUUACCCUCUUCUGAUACAUUAGUUCAAACCCAGAAACAGAAACAGAAACAUAAACAAACCCAAAAAUGUGUUAUGUUGGCAAAGCUACAAAGAUCUUCAUCUUCGUGGUCACAGUUCUUGUUGUUGUUGGCCUCGUCUUGGGUUUCGGGAUUCUCCGCCAUGGCCUCCACGACAAGUCCCACAAAUGCUCCGGCGACUCCUGCAGCUCCUCCGACUCUUCCCCUCUCCAGUUUCCCUCCCCCACUUCUACCUCCGAUCCCAUUCUCACCCCACCUAACCCCACACUAAGCCCAUCUCCACCGAGCUCCACUCCCACCCCGCCCGCCUCAGAUUUCAGCCCACCUCCGCCGUCAACGUUCUCCACUCCGACCCCACCUCCGCCUGACCCGACUUCCAAUCCACCGCCGCCAAUCCCUGCUUCCAAUCCGCCACCGCCAAUAACUGCUUCCAAUCCGCCACCGCCGAUCGCUAUUUCCAAUCAGCCCCCGCCGCCGGUUACGUUGGCAGCGCCGCCGUACAGUCCGCCGAGUGAUGUACAAUCGACACCAGGUCCUGUCCAUGCUUAGCAGCUCAGAUUCUUACACAUUUGCCGCAAUUUUUUUUUACUUCUUUUUUCUAGUUAAAAGCAGCAGCCUUUGAAUUCUUUUGUUCUGAAAUUUUAUUCUUGGAUGGAUCGUGGAUGAUGGGUUGAGUUGAUUUGGUUAGUUUGUAUAUAGAAAUGUUGUUGUGAAUUUUGUAAUGGCGGAUUUGGAAGUAGGAAGAGCAUCUUUGUCACUCCCUUUAUGAGAGUUCAGUGUUCCUUCUCUGUACAGGGAAGUUGGUUUUUACAGUGAUGAAGUGUUUCGUCAAUUCCGAUGCUGGUCAAUUGUCAUCAAUCACCUCAUUGACUACGUUGUCUAACUUGUUUUCUUUUCUGCCUGCGUUUUGCACUAUUCGCUCAAUAACAACAUACACGACUUGAAACAGACGAAAUACACACUUGAAACAUACACGACUUGCACUAUUCGCUCAUUGUAGCGUUUAGGGAAUUUUCAAACCUUCACUAUAUACGGUCUAAAACAAGGCCGUUUAGGCCUGAUUAUAUAGUUUGUUGAUUCGUCAUUUUAAAAUAACUUAAAACUGACAAAAAAAACUAGCUAGAUGCGUUAGAAACUUUAAAUUGAGUAUUUUCAUGUUCGAUCCAUAAUUUUUAUACACUAGUAGUCGAAUUUCUUCUCAAUCCUCCGAUAUCCUUGAUUACACCUUGGAUAAAGUUGGAUGACAUCUUUUACAUAGUAUUGAUAUCGUUCUUACUUAAUCAGUUUGGACAACUUCUUUGAAAUGUCUUCAAAUGAUCGAGAAGCGCAUGAAAUCACAAGUGCAUUUGGAGUUUUGGACUGUGAUGAUGAUCGUAUCAUGAAUCGCAAGUGCAUUUUUGUUCAAAGGUUAGUGAUGAUAGUAUUGGAAACGUAGACGUUGUUCUUCCUUUUAAGGUUAUGAUUGGAUUUGUUCUUUUGUGCUGGGAAUGUAACAAUAUUUCACAUUUGUACGACUGCGGUAUAGUUAUCAGUCAGGAGUUGGGCAGUGCCAGUCUGCCAGUGCCAUCAAAACCCAAGAGAGAACCUGUAAAGCUGCAACAUUAGAUUCCAUCACAUGUACAGUCUACAGAUAACACCAAAUAACACAAGUAGGGAACGAUGACCCAUCAUCAGAUCAUGUCCCUCUCUUCUCUACUCUCUAAUUCUUAUUUGAUUUGGCUUAUUAUUAGGGCACGCACCAAAUUAAUAUUAAGAAGAGGCUCUUUUGUCUUUACGACUUGUUAAUUGGAAAAGUAUGUAGAUAUAGGGAAGAUAGCGAGACCUGGGUUUGGCUGUUGGUCUCAGAAGGCUUAAGAAUGUAAGAUGAUGUUCGAUAGAGGCUCUACAGUUUCCCGACAAUUACAGCGCAAGACUCUGAAUUAUUUCGUCAUGAAAAUGGAGUUAUAUCCGAUGAAAUUAUUGACAAGACAACUUACAUUCAAGGACAAUCAUUACAAAUAGUGCAGUUUUCAUACUAUGUUGCCGCACAUAAUCAAAUCCGGCGACCUUUUAUUUCAAUCUGUCCCCGGAGGAGGAGGAGGAGGAGGAGGAUUUCAUAACAAACAACCACCUCACAAGGCCAGGCAGUGCGCAUACCGGGAUCAAACUCACAUCGCCCUAUCCAAUAGUGAUAGGGGGCUUAUUUCAGGCAAGAAAGCACAGCAGAAAAAAAAAAAAAAAAGUUAACAUAGGCCCAAUGACAAAGUGCAGGCCCCAACACCAUCAAGCUCACCUCUUAUGAUCACUCUAAAAUCUCUCUUAUGUAAACUCUCUCCAAUAGAGCACCUGAAUUUGAUUUUUAGCUAUAUCUGAUUAUUCUGAAGCAAAAUUCAACUUGAACAGACUAGCUAUAUAUAGUUAUAUACAGCAGUUAAAUAGAACAAAACAGAGUAGUUGAAUCAGAGCGCUGCAGUUGGGCUUGUCUGCUAGCUUUCUGGUCAAACAAUGGUAAUGCAUCUCACUACUGCAUACUAUUUGUUACUUUAGGCAGUUGGGAUUCUGUGUUUCCAACUCAAACAUAUUACCACAUACAUCGAUAAUUAUGGGUUAAAAUUCAAAAAUCUGGAAUGUAUAAUAAGUUGCAGCUCGGUUCAUUGCGAAUUCGAAUGUUUGUCAGUACAGUACCUCUAGAAAGUUCAGUGAAAUUAAGCAGUUGUUGCAGUACAUGUAAUUUCAAUUUGCAAACGGAUUUGUGGUUAUUGUUCGUGGAUUGGUAUAGCUAGGCUGCUCUCUCUUUUGAAUACAAAGGCUUCUUAGUAAGUUGUUACCCGAAUGCGAAUUAAGGCGUGCAACACAAACUUUAGAAUUAAAAUGCACAUGAAAAUUUGUAUCAGAAACACAUCAUGGAAUGAUCAUCCUGAAGAAUCUUCCUUGCUUAAAAGCUUAGAAGGCGAGAAACAGAAUCAUCAUGAUACCAAAUCCCAGAGUGAGACCGCCUUUGUUAAGCGAUGAAGCAGCUGAUGGUUCUGAGGAAGCCCCGGUUCGAGAGAUGGAAGUGGGAGAUUCAGUUGCAGGGAUGGUAACAGCGGUUGGCGUAGGACUGAAGGCAAGUUCUGGUGAAUGUGCAGGUGAGGGUGAAGCAGCAGAAGUGUCUGGAGCAAGAGAGGAGGCCAAAGGAGUGUCCGAGGAAGGCGGUAGAGUAGCCGAAGGAGAUCCUUGUGGAGCGAGGUUCACGGCUGGAGAAGCUGUUGGUGGAGGGGCAGAAGUAGUUGCAGGACUAGUGCCAACUUCAAGCUUCAUUCCCUGGCUACAAUGUCCGAUUGUUCCACAAAUGAAGUAUCUCUUCCCUGCAGAAGAGAGAGGGAUAGUAGUGCUGCCACCACUGUAAGCCUGAAUUGAGUUGCUUCCUUGGCAAGAAUCAUAGUCUGCCUUUGAUACCUCAAGCACAUUAUGGCUAGGCGAGUACUGAAAAUCUGCGUCCAUUGCCACCAAGUCAGAAAUAUUUUUUCUUAAUUUCUUGUAGAAUGUUUUUUCCAAUGAUAUUGGAUGAUUGAUUACACUAUUGUACAGUUUUAUCUGGAAAAUCAAAAUUAGAGAAAACAUCACUAUAAAUAUGUUAUAUUGUUAGACUGUCAUCUAUUAUGUACGACGUAUGUGGUAGAAGGUAACUUACUUAGAUUAUCUCCGACUAAGAAUGUUUGCGACGACGCCCAUGUUUGCAGGUCGGUAGAUGCAUCCCACCCGCCAUUUGGACCACCAACUGUGUAAGUCGCUGCCGCGGCCAAUUCAACCAGCACAUUCAUCAUAACAAAGCUCAUCAAUAUUGUCCUUGUAGGCACAGCCAUAUUUUCCUUCAAUUAGUGAAACAAAAUGAGGGAGGAAAUCAGAAUGAACAAUGCAGACUCGGACACAAAGAUGUAACUUAUAAGUAGGUUGAAUAGGAACUUGAAAUUAAUAUAUAGAGAAGAACUAGGGACUUUACAGAGUGAUGAUAUAUAAUACUAGUUUAUGGUUUAGUUGUUUGAGUUGGUUGAUCAGUAUCAUGACAGGUUGUUUGAUCAUGGAUUUGUUGGAGGAAUUACUUGAAGCGCAUACACUCAACGCAUGUUAUAUAGUUAAUUAGUGUUCAUCAUCUUCUUAAUUUAUUUUGUAAACGAUAAAGUAUUAAGCUUACUGUGGCGAAGAACUCAGUAGUAUAUUAUUGGAUCAUAAACAAGAGGAGGUAGAAUGGUCCAAAAGGGAGUGGUUCAUGAUCGACAUGCAUGUGAAAAGCAGAGGGUCACUUAUUGUUCAUGUCUAGUAGGUGAAUAUAUAUACCUAAUCUGAUAAUCUAACCCACGUCUGGAAGGAUUAUUUGUGUAAAGCAAGAGGCAAAGAAACUAUGGAGCUGUUANNNNNNNNNNNNNNNNNNNNCCAUAGCCUAAGUUGUCCUAAGUAGGUUUUCUUUCUUUCUUAUUUAAAGAUCAUGGCAUUUUUUUUAUUUAUCUGUUAAAUGAAGGUAAUUCAUUCAAAGAAAAUUUUACUGAUAGAUUGUAACAAUAAAAUCAAUGCCAUAAUAUCAUGCAUGGGCCUAUCUUCUAGUGUCUGAUAAGAGAGCUAUGAACGGUACACCAUGAGACUGAAAAAUUGACCAUAGCAAUCAUGGAGACUCUAAGACCGAUACAGUGCCAACAAAUUAAAAAUGGUAGAAAUAGUGCCGGUAUACCAACCAGCUAAUGACUACAAACCCACAUACAUGUGCACAAAUCAACUCCGCGAGUGAGUGAACACUGCCGGAGCUACAUUAAGACCAAAAGCUGCCAUGACACUCUCAAACCUUUUGAAGAUGGUCAAUUACACUAUUAUUGUAAGACUAAAUAGUUACAAUUAUAUAUAAUUGUAAUGAUUUGGUCAUAUUUUCAUUUAAUAAUAUGUCACAUAAUAAUGAUUAGUUUGAUAUUUUAAACUAUAUAAUCUCUUUCCUCGUUGCAUCUUGUCAUAUUCAUCAUCAUAAUCGAUUAGUUAUUAACUAAUCAUUUUACAUGCAUGUAAACUUUGAAUAUAUAAUCAUUUACAUGUACAUAAAUGAAACUAUAUAUUAACAAAAAUAAUAAGUUCAAUUUUAAUUAACCACAUAAAUUUUGACAGACAAUUUAAAAUUUUAUAUAUAUAUUUUUUUGUAUUUUAUACUCAGCCCCUCUAAACUUACAGUUCUUGCUCCACCGUUGUGAGUGAAUACAUGUCAUUAUUCAUUAAGUGAAAUCUGACAUUGUGAUUAACUUUCUACAGAUCGGACAUGAUAUAAUAUUGAUGAGUUUCUAUAGGAUUCUAGCAUUGUAUGAUUGAAGAGCGGAGUUCAGCUAAUCAAUAAAUUUCUGGCAUAAGAAACUUAAUAGCUAGUUAUUACGGACUGGUAUUGGGCUACCAGGCUUUGAGCGAUAAUAAUGUAAAUGUGGUUGCGUGCCCUAAUGCUCACAGUGUAAAUUAGGUGAUGACUAUCUAUCACGAUAUUGUAACUAGGUAGCUGGAGAUUCAGAUCGAUGAGUUUGAUCUAUAUCUCUGGACAGAUGAAACCAGAACAGAAAAAAAAUCAAUGCGUGUUUACUGAAUCCAUGAGAAAGAUAAACUCUAGCUAUAUGCAGGUUUCCACUUGGUUAAGGCAUUUUUUUUUUUCAAUUACUUUAAGAAAGUGCAAAACUACAACAUACACCUCUAGGAUCUCCAUUUCCAACUGAUGAAAACGGNNNNNNNNNNNNNNNNNNNNAUUAAACAUAGUUACGGAUUUGUUAAAUAGAAAGGACGAUGCAUUUAGAUAUUAGCAAAUGUAUAUAAGAGAAGUUUAAUUACCAGUGCCCAAACUAAAUAAGGCAUUCCUCCUAUGAGAUAGAGCACAACUCCACAAGCAAUACAGUGAUAAGGGUAAGUGUAAUGAAGAAACUUAUAGAAGCUUUGUUUCUUCAAAUCUCCAACAUUGUAUAGUUUUCCAUCAUACUGCACAAUUUCAAAUUUAAUUAACAAUAAGUAUGUGUUAAUUCAACAACAAAAUUAUGCAUGUAAUUAAUCAAGUGAGGAGAACAUGAGAUUUCUACGUACACUCCCAAAACGUUUACGAAAAUCAAAAAUCCAGCCAAUAUGACUAAACCAGAAACCCUUAAGAGGAGUAUGAGGGUCACUCGGCGUGUCUGUAAACUGGUGAUGACUCCUGUGCGAGCUAACCCAUUCUAAUGGACUUCCCUGUAAUAUAAACACCAAAAUCCAACUUCAAAACUUUGUAAUGAAGAUUGUAGUAACUAAAAGUGUAAAGAAUGAAAGCUAGAGAAUAUAUGAUGAACCUGAAGUGAAUGAACGGCACAAUAGGCGAAGAAGUAUUCCAGCCAUUUGGGAAGCUUGAAGCUUUUGUGGGCGAGAUUUCUAUGGAAAGAUAGAGUUAUUCCCACACCGGUGACAAAGUAAAGGGCUACACCCAACCAAAACGCAGACCAGGUGAAGUAAAAUGGUGCGAGAAGAGCAAUGAGAUGAACAACAGAAAGGGUGAUGACACUAGCGAUGUCGACGCCAUUCCAUUGUCUCCCCAGAAAAUAUACAGGCUUCUGCACCACCCAAAGUAGCCUUGCCAUCUUCUUUAAGCUAAGCUUAUAUUAUCAAAGCUGCUUUGCUAGCUUCUCUCUUCUGUAGUUGUGUGUAGAAGUAUCAGUGUUUGCACAUAUAUAUACACAAAUACAAUAUACAUAUGAAGGGGGAAGCUAGUUAUGGGAGUUGCUUGUUAGAUUGAGAUAUUGGACUUGCAUUUACUUCCUCAUGUUCUGCAGGCAACCUACCGAUGUAACGAUGCAAUAACUAUGCCUGGCUAUUUACCUGAAGACAAAUACUUGUGUGUCUUAAGAUAUAGAUAUCUUAACCACAUGGUUGCUUGGAUCAUAAACAAGAGAAGGUAGAAUGGUCCAAAAGGGAGUGGUUCAUGAUCGACAUGCAUGUGAAAAGCAGAGGGUCACUUAUUGUUCAUGUCUAGUAGGUGAAUAUAUAUACCUAAUCUGAUAAUCUAACCCACGUCUGGAAGGAUUAUUUGUGUAAAGCAAGAGGCAAAGAAACUAUGGAGCUGUUAUGGAAGUGCAGGCACGACCGAGACUCCAAACUGCAGUUGACUAUUAGAACCUCAUGCAUGUUAGUUUGUUAAUUUCUGUACACUUAUAUUUGGCUUCAGCUCCAGAAAGUUUCUUCGAAUUUGUCCUCAAAGUUUUUAUUAUAUAAAAUUCGUUUGGAAAAAAAAGAAGUGGAUUAAAGUUAUGGUGGGUGGACUGAGCGAAGAUUUCAUGAAGAACAUUAGGCGUGGUAAAGUUCAACGUGCGAGGGGUAAAGAUUUUAUGAAGAAGUUGGACAUGGUAAACUUUCUUGCUCUUGCAAAUCUUGGUCACUCAACUAUUAUUGAUGACAGGGUUCAUAGGCUUAAUCUUUCAGUGUUGCCUACUUUUAACUAUGAUUUUCAUAGCUUAAGUUGUCCUUGGAGAAUUUCUUAUAUUUAUAUGGUAUUUUUGUUAUAUAUGAAAGUAAUUUAUUUAAAGAAAAUUUUACUAGUAUAAUGUAACAAUAAAAUCAAUGUCAUACCAUCAUGUAUGAACCUAUCUUCUAGUGUCGGACAACAGAGCUAUGAACUCUCCAGUACGUAAGAGACUAGAAAAUUGGUCAUAGCGAUCAUGGAGACUCUAAAACCGACACAAUGCCAAUAAAGAUGGUAGAAUAACGCCAGGAUAACAAAUGGCUAAUGGCUGCAAACACACGAAGGAUGAAGUAGACGAAGUGGCCUAAACCCUUAUAAACCUACAUGUAAGGUCUCAUAUUCCCAAUGUGGGAUUUAUAUCUCAACACGCCCCCGCACGCAUGUGUGGCGAAUCUUCAAGUCAUACACGUGGACAACUAUUUGGGUGAUGUGGUGUUUGUGUGGCCAUUAGGCUUCACACGUGGACGUGGGUAACCCACUCUGAUACCAUGAUAAAGUAGUCUAGGGUUCACAUCUAAAACCAAUUGGUAAUGGAUGAAGUCGGCUCAAACCCUUAUAAACCCACAGAUAAGGUCUCAUAUUUCCAAUGUGGGAUUGAUAUCUUAACAGUGUGGGAUUGAUAUCUCAACAGUACAUGUGCACAAAUAUUCAACUCCGCCCUCGUGAUGAGUGAAUACACAUGAUUAUUUAAGUGAAAUACGACAUUAUUAAUUAUCACCGGUGCAUUAUGAUUAACUUUCUACAGACUACAUGAUGUUGAUGAGUUUCUAUUGGAUUCUUGUAUGAUUGAAGAGCGGAGUUCAGCUAGUCAUUCAUUUUUGACAACACCAAUCGAUACAUUUCUAGCAUAAGAAAACUUAAUAGCUAGUUAUUGCGGACUGGGGCUAUCAGGCUUUGAGCAAUAAUAAUGUACAUGACUACAUGUGGUUGCGAGCAUGCUCACAGUGUUAAUUAGGUGACUAUUGUAUCACGAUAUUUAUUUUGGUUCUUGAUUGGGUAUGGUAUGUCUGAUGGCAUUGGUCCGAAGGACACAGAAGAAUGAGAUACGAAGGAGUCAUGCAACCCUUAAGCAGCGAUGACUCUAGAUUACUUAGAAGAUGUCCAGUUACUAGGUAGCUGGAAUUGACUUGAAUGAGUUUGAUCAGAAAAAAAAAAAAAUCAAUGCGAUCUUACUGAAUCCGUGAGAAAGAUAAACUCGAUCUUAUAUUGAUAAAAUCAUGUUGAACUUAUAUGGUUCAACACAGAAACAAAAGCAAUGUUGGAAUACAGAAAAUAGAUAUAUGUAGUACUCAUACACGCUUAGGUCUCCCUUGAAUCAUUUCACUUUGGUUUCGAACCUUCCCUCCUGCUCCAUGCUACUGACUUUGUUUGAUAAAGCUUUUCGGUUUUUCUGAAGCUCAGUCGGGAGUUUAACGUCAGUUGCCAAACCAACCAUUUUAAGAAACCUUAUCAAAUACCAAGUAAUAUCGAUUUGCCACCAUUCGAAACCAUGUUGAGCUGAGUACUCAAAAGCAUGGUGAUUAUUAUGCCAACCUUCUCCAUGAGCUAGCAAUCCAAACAACCUAAACCACACAAUUUCAUAAUUAGAUUUCAUUACAUGUAGAGAAACAGAAACUAUAUAUAUAUACGAUUUGUAAUCAUAUCAAGUGCGUAUACCAGUUGUUUUUGGACAGAUCACCAGUAUCCCAUACUUGGUUUCCCCAUAUGUGGCAGAUCGAAUUUAUCGAAAGUGUUAUAUGGAGAACAAAUAUUGUUCUCACAGCCUACAAAUAAUCAAAAGAAUUAAACAUAGUUACGGAUUUGUUAAAUAGAAAGGACGAUGCAUUUAGAUAUUAGCAAAUGUAUAUAAGAGAAGUUUAAUUACCAGUGCCCAAACUAAAUAAGGCAUUCCUCCUAUGCAAUAGAACACAACUCCACAAGCAAUACAGUGAAAAGGGUAAGUGUAAUGAAGAAACCUAUAGAAGCUUUGUUUCUUCAAAUCUCCAACAUUGUAUAGUUUUCCAUCAUACUGCACAAUUUCAAAUUUAAUUAACAAUAAGUACGUGUUAAUUCAACAACAAAAUUAGGCAUGUAAUUAAUCAAGUGAGGAGAACAUGAGAUUUCUACGUACACUCCCAAAACGUUUACGAAAAUCAAAAAUCCAGCCAAUAUGACUAAACCAGAAACCCUUAAGAGGAGUAUGAGGGUCACUCGGCGUGUCUGUAAACUGGUGAUGACUCCUGUGCGAGCUAACCCAUUCUAAUGGACUUCCCUGUAAUAUAAACACCAAAAACCAACUUCAAAACUUUGUAAUGAAGAUUGUAGUAACUAAAAGUGAAAAGAAUGAAAGCUAGAGAAUAUAUGAUGAACCUGAAGUGAAUGAACGGCACAAUAGGCGAAGAAGUAUUCCAGCCAUUUGGGAAGCUUGAAGCUUUUGUGGGCGAGAUUUCUAUGGAAAGAUAGAGUUACUCCCACACCGGUGACAAAGUAAAGGGCUACACCCAACCAAAACGCAGACCAGGUGAAGUAAAAUGGUGCGAGAAGAGCAAUGAGAUGAACAACAGAAAGGGUGAUGACACUAGCGAUGUCGACGCCAUUCCAUUGCCUGCCCAGAAAAUAUAUCGGCUUCUGCACCACCCAAGGUAGCCCUGCCAUCUUCUUUAAGCUAAGCUUAUAUUAUCAAAACUGCUUUGCUAGCUUCUCUCUUCUGUAGUUGUGUGUAGAAGUAUCACUGUUUGCACACACAUAUAUAUAUAUAUAUAUAUAUAUAUAUAUACACAUAUAUACUACUACUAUACUUACUUCUUCUACUCUACUACUCUCUCUCUCUCUCUCUCUCUCUCUCUCUCUCUCUCUCUCUCUCUCUCUCUCUCUCUCUCUAACUCAAACAAUUUGAAUACUUUUGUUUAGUCGAUCUCUCUCUCUCAUCUUAUCGAUAUGUCAUUUUCUUAUCAAAAUUGAUCUCGUUGCAAGAAACUAAUUCUUCUUAUAUGCUCAAUCUUCUCACUCCUCUCACAUAGUAGGUGAAUAUUCUAAUUCAAUUCAGUUCAAAGUCUACUAGUAUCAUGAGUUAAGUCUACCAGUAACAUGAGCAAACUGACAUUAAAAAAUAGACUUUCUGAAAAAUUAUUCUUCAUAAGAUGCAAAGUCUACUAGUAACAUGAGUUAAGUCUACCAGUAACAUGAGCUAACUAGCAUACAACAAUAGACUUUCUAGAAAAUUGUUCACUCCUAAUACUGGUCACUAGUCAUCAAUCACCUUAUUGACCACGUUGUCUAACUUGUUUUCUUUUAUGUCUGUGUUUUGCACUAUUCACGCAAUAGCAACAUACACGGCUUAAAACAGACAAAAUACACGCUCAUGGUAGCGUUUAGUGAAUUUUCAAACAUUGACUAUAUAUAUGCAGUUGAUCUGCUCAUAUUAUCCUAUAUUUCUAAGCCUCUUAUGUUUGAGAGUUGUGUUUAGUUCUCUUCUUUAUAAAUUAUUUACAUUAUUUUAUUGUUUUUGUAGGUUUGUGUCGUAGAGAGAAGAAAAUGAGCUAAAAUGCGCAAAUAAGGAUUGAAAGGCCACUGCAAUCCUAAGUCUCAGAAUCCGCCUAUGCAGAACAUCCAAACUUCUCCGAAUUACCGGGAAUUACUCAGAUCAAAUCAGACUAUGAGCCUUAUAUCAUUGGAAAGCUACAUAUGUCUACUUUUUGUAGAAGUUUACGGAUCUCAAUUUCGAUACUUCUAGACCGAGUUAUGAUAGUUUGAAUGAAGAUAGGUCAGAUCAGAAAAUCUGCUCGGAUUUGCAAGCAUUUGUGGAGAACUUAAGUUCCAUGGCACAAGAUCAUCAACUCUUAUGCUUCAAGGACAAUAAUGCAGAUGAAGAUUCAAGGAGUAAAUGUAUUCCUAGUUCUAUAAUAGAUAUCUCAAGGUUUUCUCAUUCCAUAUCAAUAAUGGAGUCUGAAUCCAAGUCUUACAAAGAAACUUGAAGCCAAAGAUGAGCAAGAAAUCUCCCCUAUAUAAAGAGCACGAAUUUCAUAGAGAAGGGGCUUCCGGGGACACAUGACAUAUUUGGAAGCUGCCAUCAUCACCAACCUUUCAUUCUUUUUCCCUUUUAGCCUUUUUAUGUUUUUCAUUGUUAUCAUCAUGUUUGUUAUGACUCUUAGUAGCUAAAUCUUUUGUUAGGGUCAUAAUGGAUUAUUAGCAUGACUAUUUGAUGUUUUCAGUUGGAUGAUUACUUAUUUAUUGGAUUGAGUUUUUAAUCUCUAUAAGAAUUGUUGCUUAUUUUAAAAUACUAGAGACUUGCGACCUUUAAGGUUUUGUUUUAAGCUAUCUGAUGCAAGAGUAGGUAGAUGCCCAUGCUGAAUCUUGAAUGCUUCUUGUGAUUAAAAACCAUAGAUUGAUAAGAUAGAUGCCAUGUUUUAUUGGUUUGUGCGAGUCUUUUUGUUGUCGUCGAACUUCAUUGACCCUUAGAGAUUAGAUGUCAUACUUCUAAGAAUAGUUGGAUAUUAUACUCUACCAUAAGGUAGUAUUCAUGUCUUGGAGAACUUAUGUGUAUAAGUACUCUGCCAUAAGACUUAUAUGACUGGUUUUUCAACACCGGUUUAGUAGUUAGUAAUCGGAAGACUAGGAACUCAAAUAUAUAUGAUUGUGACAGUGAAGUUAGAAGCCCUAGCAUUCAUCCAUCAUUGUUUUACAACUUUUCAAAACAUUUUCUCAAUUAUCUUGUGUGACAUUCUCAAUUUGCUUGAUUUACUCUUUUCUUAUUGUAUACAAAAAUCACAAAAAUAUCUUCUUGUUUUCUUGUUAGUCGUUAGAGUAAUUUGGUCAUUAGUUAGAGUUGAAAGUUAGUUAUCUAUCCCUAGUUGGAACGACCUCGUAUUUGCAUAUAAGCUAUACUACAAACGAUUCGUGCACUUGCGAAGUUUUUAAAAUUUGACAACAGCAGUGUUCUAAAACAAGGUUGCCUAGGCGGCUUUUAGACGUUUUAAGUCUGCGCUUCAUCCUGAAAGCGCCAGUGAAUUUUCAAACCUUACUUGUACCAGGUUUUAAAUUGUAUAGUUUGUCGAAUCACCAUUUUAAAAUAACUUAAAGCUGGCAAAAAAACUAGCUAGAUGUGUUGGAAACUUUAAAUUGAGUAUUCUCAUGCUCGAUCCAUAAUUUUUUAAACACUAGUAGUCAAAUUUCUUCUCAAUCCUCCGAUCUCCUUGAUUACACCUUGGACAAAGUUGGAUGACAUCUUUUACAUAGUAUCGACAUGGCUUGUACACCGCAAAUUGAAUAAUAUAUUUAUGUAUUUUUAAUACAUAAAAAAUAUACUAAAAUAUGAAAUAAGUUCAUUACAUUGCCAAAAUUAUGUUCUAAAUUCAAUCUUUUUUUUCUUCUUUUUUGUCUAAAUUCAACACAUUGCAUAAGCAUAUUAAAAUAACAUUAAAGAGAAUUAAAUGGAAGUUAUUAAAGAGAAUCAAAUGACUAGUUCCGAUAUAUGUUGUAAAAAAAUUAGACAUCAACUUAAUAACACAACAACCCUCUAACACCUAAUAGACAAGAAAAUUUCAAUCAUUCCAUAAUUCAUCUAAACAUCUCUUUAUAAACUGUUAUAAACAUGAACGGUUUGAGUUCGACAAAAUUAUGUUCAUCCAUUGGUUUAAUCGAAUUUGAGUGCCUUAAUGAUAACCAAAUUAGCUGAAAUUUUGCAGAGAUGAUUUAUACGAGAUGUGAAAAUUCGAUUAAAAAGUAAGUGUAAAGCGGAAAUCCGCACAGUAAGAAUAAAUAAAGACCUCCUUAACCAAGAAAGCCUAUAUAUAUAUUAAAAAUUGAUGACGUGAUGUGUCGGAGGUUGAGGUGGCGUGUUGGACACGUGUCGGGCCGUGUCGGAGGUGUGUCGCCGUGUCAGGCGUGUCGGACACUCCGACACUCCAGAGGUGUGAAGUGUUCGUGCAACAUAGCUUUUAACUAUGAUUUUCAUAUCUAAAGUUGUUCUAGGACUCUAGGAGGUUUUCUUUGUAAUUUAUAUGGUAUUUUUCUUAUAUAUUAACUGAAAAUAAUUAAUUUAAGGAAAAAAUAAUUUACUAGUAGAAUGUAACAAUAAAAUCAAUGUUAUACCAUCAUAUAUAUAUGAACCUAUCUUCUAGUGUCGGAUAAGGGAUCUAUGAACUCUCCAGUACGUAUGAGACUGGAAAAUUGGUCACAGCGAUCAUGGAGACUCUAAAACUGACACAAUGCCAAUAAAGAUGAUAGAAUAACGUCGGUAUACCAAACGGCUAAUGAGUGAAUACACGUGAUUAUUUAAGCAAAAUACAACAUUAUUAAUUAUCACCGCUGCAUUAUGAUUAACUUUCUACAGAGUACAUGAUGUUGAUGAGUUUCUAUUGGAUUCUUGUAUGAUUGAAGAGCGGAUUUCAGCUAGUCAUUCAUUUUUGACAACACCAAUCGAUACAAUUCUAGCAUAAUAACUUAACAUAUAGCUAGUUAUUGCGGACUGGGGCUAUCAGGCUUUGAGCAAUAAUAACGUACAUGUGGUUGCGUGCAUGCUCACAGUGUAAAUUAGGUGACUAUCUAUCACGAUAUUUAUUUUGGUUCUUGAUUUGGUAUGGUAUGUCUGAUGGGUCCGAAGGACACAGAAGAAUGAAGAUACGGAGGAGUGAUACAACCCUUAAGCAGCGGUAACUCUAGAUUACUGGUUACUAGGUAGCUGGAAUUGACUUGAAUGAGUUUGAUCAAGAAAAAAAAAAAAAAAAAAAAAAAAACAAUGCGAGCUUACUGAAUCCAUGAGAAAGAUAAACUCGAUCUUAUAUUGAUAAAAUCAUGUUGAACUUAUAUGGUUCAACACAGAAACAAAAGCAAUGUUGGAAUACAGAAAAUAGAUAUAUGUAGUACUCAUACACGCUUAGGUCUCCCUUGAAUCAUUUCACUUUGGUUUCGAACCUUCCCUCCUCCAUGCUACUGAUUUUGUUUGAUAAAGCUAUUCGGUUUUUCUGAAGCUCAGUCGGGAGUUUAACGUCAGUUGCCAAACAAACCAUUUCAAGAAACCUUAUCAAAUACCAAGUAAUAUCGAUUUGCCACCAUUCGAAACCAUGUCGAGCUGAGUACUCAAAAGCAUGGUGAUUAUUAUGCCAACCUUCUCCAUGAGCUAGCAAUCCAAACAACCUAAACCACACAAUUCAUAAUUAGAUUUCAUUACAUGUAGAGAAAUAGAAACUAUAUAUAUACACUUUGUAAUCAUAUCAAGUGCGUAUACCAGUUGUUUUUGGACAAACCAGUAUCCCAUACUUGGUUUCGCCAUAUGUGGCAGAUCGAAUUUAUCGAAAGUGUUAUAUGGAGAACAAAUUUUGUUCUCACAGCCUACAAAUAAUCAAAAGAAUUAAACAUAGUUACGGAUUUGUUAAUAGAAAGGACGAUGCAUUUAGAUAUUAGCAAAUGUAUAUAAGAGAAGUUUAAUUACCAGUGCCCAAACUUAAUUAGGUAUUCCUCCUAUGCGAUAGAACACAACUCCACAAGCAAUACAGUGAAAAGGGUAAGUGUAAUGAAGAAACCUAUAGAAGCUUUGUUUCUUCAAAUCUCCAACAUUGUAUAGUUUUCCAUCAUACUGCACAAUUUCAAAUUUAAUUAACAAUAAGUACGUGUUAAUUCAACAAAAAAAUUAUGCAUGUAAUUAAUCAAGUGAGGAGAACAUGAGAUUUCUACGUACACUCCCAAAACGUUUACGAAAAUCAAAAAUCCCGCCAAUAUGACUAAACCAGAAACCCUUAAGAGGAGUAUGAGGGUCACUCGGCGUGUCUGUAAACUGGUGAUGACUCCUGUGCGAGCUAACCCAUUCUAAUGGACUUCCCUGUAAUAUAAACACCAAAAACCAACUUACAAAACUUUGUAAAUGAAGAUUGUAGUAACUAAAAGUGAAAAAGAAUGAAAGCUAGAGAAUAUAUGAUGAACCUGAAGUNAAUGAACGGCACAAUAGGNNNNNNNNNNNNNNNNNNNNCUACUACUCUCUACUCUCUCUCUCUCUCUCUCUCUCUCUCUCUCUCUCUCUCUCUCUCUCUCUCUCUCUCUCUCUCUCUCUCUCUCUCUCUCUCUCUCUCUAACUCAAACAAUUUGAAUACCUUUGUCUCGUCGAUCUCUCUCUCUCUCUCUCAUCUCAUUGAUAUGUCAUUUUCUUAUCAAAAUUGAUCUCGUUGCAAGAAACUAAUUCCUUUUGUAUGCUCUGUCUUCUCACUCCUCUCACAUAGUAUGUGAAUAUUCUAAUUCAAUUAAGUUCAAAGUCUACUAAUAUAUGAGUUAAGUCUACCAGUAACAUGAGCAAACUGACAUACAAAAAUAGACUUUCUGGAAAAUUAUUCUUCAUAAGAUGCAAAGUCUAGCUACUAGUAACAUGAAUUAAGUCUACCAGUAACAUGAGCUAACUAGCAUACAAAAAUAGACUUUCUGAAAAAUUGUUCACUCCUAAUGCUGGUCACUAGUCAUUAGUCACCUUAUUGACUACGUUGUCUAACUUGUUUUCUUUUCUGUCUACGUUUUGCACUAUUCACUCAAUAGCAACAUACACGGCUUAAAACAGACGAAAUACACGCUCAUGGUAACGUUUAGUGAAUUUUCAAACAUUGACUAUAUGCAGUUGAUGUGCUCAUAUUAUCUUAUAUUUCUAAGCGUCUUAUGCUUGAGAUUUGUGUUUAGUUCUCUUCUUUAUGAAUUAUUUACGUUAUUUUAGUGUUCUUGUAGGUUUGUGUCGUAUGGAGAAGAAAAUGAGCUAAAAUGCGCAAAUAAGGAUUCAAAGGCCACUGCAAUCCUAAGUCUCAAAAUCUGCAUGUGCAGAACAUCCAAACUUCUCUGAAUUACCGGGAAUUACUCAGAUCAAAUCAGACUAUGUGCCUUAUAUUAUUGGAAAACUACAUAUGUCUACUUUCUGUAGAAGUUUACGGAUCUCAAUUUCGAUACUUCUAGACCGAGUUAUGAUAGUUUGAAUGAAGAUAGGUCAAAUCAGAAAAUGUGCUCGGAUUUGCAAGCAUUUGUGGAGAACUCAAGUUCCAUGGCACAAGAUCAUCAACUCUAAUGCUUCAAGGGACAAUAAUGCAGAUGAGGAUUCAAGGAGUAAAUGUAUUCUUAGUUCUACAAUAGAUAUCUCAAGGUUUUCUCAUUCCAUAUCAAGAAAGGAGUCUGAAUCCAAGUCUUACAAAGAAACUUGAAGCCAAAGAUGAGUAGGAAAUCUCCCCUAUAUAAAGAGCACGAAUUUCAUAGAGAAGGGGCUUCCGGAGACGUGACAUAUUUGGAAGCUGUCAUCAUCACCAACCUUUCAUUCUUUUUCCCUUUUAGUCUUUUUAUGUUUUUCAUUGUUAUCAUCGUGUUUGUUAUGACUCUUAGUAACUAAAUCUUUUGUUAGGGUCAUAAUGAAUCCUUAGCAUGACUAUUUGAUGUUUUUAGUUGGAUGAUUACUUAUUUAUUGGAUUGAUGUUGAGUUUUUAAUCUCUAUAAGAAUUGUUGCUUAUUUCAAAAUACUAGAGACUCGCGACCUUUAGGGUUUUGUUUUAAGCUAUAUGAUGCAAGAGUAGGUAGAUGCCCAUGCUGAAUCUUGAAUGCUUCUUGUGAUUAAAAACCAUAGAUUGAUAAGAUAGAUGCCAUGUUUUAUUGGUUUGUGUGAGUCCUUUUGUUCUCAUCGAACUUCAUUGACCCUUAGAGAUUAGAUGCCAUACUUCUAAGAAUUGUUGGAUACUAUACUCUGUUAUAAGAUAGUAUUUAUGCUUUGGAGAACUUAUGUUUAUAAGUACUCUGCCAUAAGACUUAUAUGACGAAUUUUUCAACACCGGUUUAGUAGUUAGUAAUCGGAAGACUAGGAACUCGAAUAAGAUUGUGACGGUGAAGUUAGAAGCCCUAGCAUUCAUCCAUCAUUGUUUUACAACUUUUCAAAACAUCUUCUCAAUUAUCUUGUGUGACAUUCUCAAUUUGCUUGUUUUACUCUUUUCUUAUUGUUUACAAAAAUCACAAAAAUAUCUUCUUGUUUUCUUGUUAGUCGUUAGAGUAAUUUGGUCAUUAGUUAGAGUUGAAAGUUAGUUAUCUAUCCCUAGUUGGAACGACCUCGUAUUUGCAUAUAAGCUAUACUACAAACGAUUCGUGCACUUGCGAAGUUUUUAAAAUUUGACAACAGCAGUGUUCUAAAACAAGGUUGCCUAGGCGGCUUUUAGACGUUUUAAGUAUGAGCUUCAUCCUGAAAGGACCAGUGAAUUUUCAAACCUUACUUGUACCAGGUUUUAAAUUGUAUAGUUUGUCGAUUCACCAUUUUAAAAUAACUUAAAGCUGGCAAAAAAACUAGCUAGAUGUGUUGGAAACUUUAAAUUGAGUAUUCUCAUGCUCGAUCCAUAAUUUUUAAACACUAGUAGUCGAAUUUCUUCUCAAUCCUCCGAUCUCCUUGAUUACACCUUGGACAAAGUUGGAUGACAUCUUUUACAUAGUAUCGACAUGGCUUGUACACCGCAAAUUGAAUAAUAUAUUUAUGUAUUUUUAAUACAUAAAAAAUAUACUAAAAUAUGAAAUAAGUUCAUUACAUUGCCAAAAUUAUGUUCUAAAUUCAAUUUUUUUUUUGUCUAAAUUCAACACAUUGCAUAAACAUAUUAAAAUAACAUUAAAGAGAAUUAAAUGGAAGUUAUUAAAGAGAAUCAAAUGACUAGUUCCGAUAUAGGUUGUAAAAAAAUUAGGCAUCAACUUAGUAACACAACAACCCUCUAACACGUACCUAAUAGACAAGAAAAUUUCAAUCAUUCCAUAAUUCAUCUAAACCUCUCUUUAUAAACUGUUAUAAACAUGAACGGUUCGAGUUCGACAAAAUUAUGUUCAUCCAUUGGUUUAAUCGAAUUUGAGUGUCUUAAUGAUAACCAAAUUAGCUGAAAUUUUACAAAGAUGAUCUAUACAUUAGUAUCUAAAUAUUAGACGGUGGAGAUGUGAAAAUUCGAUUGAAAAGUGAGUGUAAAGCGGAAAUCCGCACCGUAAAAAUAAAUAAAUACCUCCUUAGCCAAGAAAGCUUGUAUAUAUAUAUUAAAAAUUGAUGACGUGGCUUGUCAGAGGUUGAGAUGGCAUGUCGGUCAACGUGUCGGAAAAGUCAACAUUUUCCGACAUGUGUCAGAGGUGUGUCGUUGUGUCGGACACUCCGACAGUCCAGGGGUGUGAAGCGUCCGUGCAACAUAGCUUUUAACUAUGAUUUUCAUAUCUAAAGUUGUCCUACGACUCUAGGAGGUUCUCUUUGUAAUUUAUAUGGUAUUUUUCUUAUAUAUUAACUGAAAAUAAUUUAUUUAAAGAAAAAUUAUUUUACUAGUAGAAUGUAACAAUAAAAUCAAUGUUAUACCAUCAUAUAUAUAUAUAUAUAUAUGUGAACCUAGCUUCUAGUGUCGGAUAAGGGAGCUAUGAACUCUCCAGUACGUAUGAGACUGAAAAAUUGGUCAUAGCGAUCAUGGAGACUCUAAAACCGACACAAUGCCAAUAAAGAUGGUAGAAUAACGCCGGUAUACCAAACGGCUAAUGGCUACAAACCCGCGAAGGAUGUACAUGCAUGUGCACAAAUAUUCAACUCCCCCUCUUGAUGAGUGAAUACACGUGAUUAUUUAAGUAAAAUAAGACAUUAUUAAUUAUCACCGGUGCAUUAUGAUUAACUUUCUACAGAGUACAUGAUGUUGAUGAGUUUCUAUUGGAUUCUUGUAUCAUUGAAGUGCGGAGUUCAGCUAGUCAUUCAUUUUUGACAACACAAAUCGAUACAUUUCUAGCAUAAGAAACUUAAUAUAUAGCUAGUUAUUGCGGACUGGGGCUAUCAGGCUUUGAGCAAUAAUAACGUACAUGUGGUUGCGUGCAUGGUCACAGAGUAAAUUAGGUGACUAUCUACCACGAUAUUUAUUUUGGUUCUUGAUUUGGUAUGGUAUGUCUGAUGGGUCCGAAGGACACAGAAGAAUGAAGAUACGGAGGAGUGAUACAACCCUUAAGCAGCGGUAACUCUAGAUUACUUAGAAGAUGACUGGUUACUAGGUAGCUGGAAUUGACUUGAAUGAGUUUGAUCAGAAAANNNNNNNNNNNNNNNNNNNNGAGAAAGAUAAACUCGAUCUUAUAUUGAUAAAAAAUCAUGUUGAACUUAUUUCACUUUGGUUCAACACAGAAACAAAAGCAAUGUUGUAAUACAGGAAAUAGAUAUAUGUAGUACUCGUACACGCUUAGGUCUCCCUUGAAUCAUUUGACUUUGGUUUCGAACCUUCCCUCCUGCUCCAUGCUACUGACUUUGUUUGAUAAAGCUUUUCGGUUUUUCUGAAGCUCAGUCGGGAGCUUAACGUCAGUUGCCAAACCAACCAUUUCAAGAAACCUUAUCAAAUACCAAGUAAUAUCGAUUUGCCACCAUUCGAAACCUUGUCGAGCUGAGUACUCAAAAGCAUGGUGAUUAUUAUGCCAACCUUCUCCAUGAGCUAGCAAUCCAAACAACCUAAACCACACAAUUCAUAAUUAGAUUUCAUUACAUGUAGAGAAAUAGAAACUAUAUAUAUACUUUGUAAUCAUAUCAAGUGCGUAUACCAGUUGUUUUUGGACAAAUCACCAGUAUCCCAUACUUGGUUUCCCCAUAUGUGGCAGAUCGAAUUUAUCGAAAAUGUUACAUGGAGAAGAAAUAUUGUUCUCACCGCCUACAAAUAAUCAAAAGAAUUAAACAUAGUUACGGAUUUGUUACAUAGAAAGGACGAUGCAUUUAGAUAUUAGCAAAUGUAUAUAAGAGAAGUUUAAUUACCAGUGCCCAAACUAAAUAAGGCAUUCCUCCUAUGCGAUAGAGCACAACUCCACAAGCAAUACAGUGAUAAGGGUAAGUGUAAUGAAGAAACUUAUAGAAGCUUUGUUUCUUCAAAUCUCCAACAUUGUAUAGUUUUCCAUCAUACUGCACAAUUUCAAAUUUAAUUAACAAUAAGUACGUGUUAAUUUAAUAUAAAAAAAAGUAGUGCUAAAGGGCCUUAAUAAAACCAAAUAUUUGUGGCCUUAAUCCUAUGUGUCAUGCAUAGUAAGUAAAUAAAAUACUUAUUUCCUAUUCCACGUACAUAAUAUUUCUUGCCAAAUCAUAAGAUUGCAUUACCAAUUUUACCAUUUCCAUUUUCUUUUAGAUCUUAAGAAGAAGGUAAAUCAAUGAUAUUAAUGAAGUUUUAUUAAAUAAUGGAAACAAAUAUUGCAUAUUAAUAACAACCUUUAAUUAUGUAUAAAUCUAAGGAAUGUUUCUUAUAUAUUGAAUUAACAUGUUUUUCAAUUUUAAUUAUUUUUAUCAAAUAAACUCUAAACUCUAACCCUAGUUCGUCCAAAAACUAAAUUCAGAUUAUAAUUAUUCAAAAUUAUCUAUAAUUCGUCCAACAAAAAAAUUUAUAUACAAAUAAUUCCUCUAAAUGAUUUACAUACAGAUUAUUGUUUUAAUUCGUCCAACAAAAUUAUAUAAUAUACUCUUUGUAAAUAUUAUAAUAUAAAGUUAGGGGGAAAUUUUGAUUUUUUAUAUUUCUAUUUAAUUACAUAUUUAGAAAAAGAAAGCUAAAAUAGUUUUUUUUUAAUGGAAAACUAAAAAUUUAGAUCUAUUGUUCGGAAUGGUAAGAUGGUCUUUUUACUUAAGUAUUAUAUGACAUAAGAUUUUAAAUAUGUUAUGUGUCUAAAUAUUUGGUAUGCCAUAUAGGUUUAAAGCCUAAAAUCAUUUUCCCAAAAAAAUUAUGCAUGUAGUAAUUAAUCAAGUGAGGAGAACAUGAGAUUUCUACGUACACUCCCAAAACGUUUACGAAAAUCAAAAAUCCAGCCAAUAUGACUAAACCAGAAACCCUUAAGAGGAGUAUGAGGGUCACUCGGCGUGUCUGUAAACUGGUGAUGACUCCUGUGCGAGCUAACCCAUUCUAAUGGACUUCCCUGUAAUAUAAACACCAAAAACCAACUUCAAAACUUUAUAAUGAAGAUUGUAGUAACUAAAAGUGAAAAGAAUGAAAGCUAGAGAAUAUAUGAUGAACCUGAAGUGAAUGAACGGCACAAUAGGCGAAGAAGUAUUCCAGCCAUUUGGGAAGCUUGAAGCUUUUGUGGGCGAGAUUUCUAUGGAAAGAUAGAGUUACUCCCACACCGGUGACAUAGUAGAGUGCUACACCCAACCAAAACGCAGACCAGGUGAAGUAAAAUGGCGCCAGAAGAGCAAUGAGAUGAACAACAGAGAGGGUGAUGACACUAGCGAUGUCGACGCCAUUCCAUUGCCUCCCCAGAAAAUAUACCGGCUUCUGCACCACCCAAAGCAGCCUUGCCAUUUUCUUCAAGCUAAGCUUAUAUUAUCUGCUUUGCUAGCUUCUCUCUUCUGUAGUUGUGUAUAGAACUAUUAGUGCUUACACACAUAUAUACACAAAUACAAUAUACAAAUGAAGGUGGAAGCAAUCUAGUUAUGGGAGUUGCUUGUUAGAUUGAGAUAUUGGGCUUGCAUUUACUUCCUCAUGUUCUGCAGGCAACCAACCGAUGUACCGAUGCAAUAACUAUGCCUGGCUAUUUAUCUGAAAGAAGUAAGUUUAUUUUGACAUAAUGUAGUCGAAACCAUCAUUUUUCUUAGGCAUGGAUUCAUUUCUUUCUUUGUUUGUUAUUAGUUAUACAAAACUAGCUGAUCAUCAUUGAUUCUUUUCUGGCAAUGGCCUUGUUUUCUUCUUCUCGAUGGGAUUCAUACGGUGCACCUGUGGUUGUGUAGGUGAGGCAAGCAUGGGUGCAUGUACGUUAUUGAUCGAUCUUCCCAUCUGUAUUACUGCUAUAUAUGGUCUUUACGUAUAAACUUUGUUCUUGGGUUGAAUACAGAGACAUGCAGCGACGACAAAAAUGGAAACCUUAUUAACUUUGUGUUUUGUUAGUCAAUAAUAUCGGGCGACCUAAGCAGUUAUUUUUUGAACUACAGCAAUAUUUUGGCCGGUCCCCAAAACCAUUAAUAUGUCAGACUGAAGUUAUAUAUAUGGUUGGUGGUUGGUCGAUACAGAUCGAUAAUGGAUCAUAGAGUCUCAGGAGUUGCAGGCUGCUAGCUAGUAGCUACAGAGUAUCGAUGUACAGAGAGAUCUGCGUAAGAAGUAUACAGUAAAAGGAACUGGAAGCAGAGUGGGAUAUUCACACCACCAUUGGUGUUGGCAAAAAUUGCCUCUCAAAUUGGUUGGGCAGCCGAUUGGUAUCUGAAAAACCAAUAUGCAGUACUAUUACCAGCUAAAAGCCUAAAAUUAGGAAUAUGCACAAAUAUUAUCCAAAAAAAAAAAAACUAAUAUUACUAGCUAGGCUGGGGUGUCAUUUGAUGAAACCUAUAACAUAAGUAAGUUUUUGAAUUUUGUUCAUUUGAUUAUAUUGCACUUAUUUCAAAGGUUUAUAAGUAGAUGGGCAAAACUGUUUCGGAUUUGCAAUUGGUUAGGUAUAUAUUUUGAAUCAGUACUAUAUAUAUAAGAUCUUUGGUGGAACCCAAAAUAUAAUUGGUUCCCAGUUACAGUACUAUCAGCAAUUCAGCAUGUAUUAACUAAUGAUACUAUAUUCCCAACAUGAUGAUCGAUCAGUUUGUACUAGACUUGAGGACUUGAGGGCUUAUAUAUGCACUCUAUCAACAUUUGCCAAUCAAAGCCACUAAUUAGAGCUAGCCUUUGGUAAACUGAUGCAUAUUAAUUUUACCUUCUAUAUAGCUAGCUAGGUUAAAUUGAUUACUCCAAGUAUGCUUCAGUUUGGACAGUUCAUUUCCGAUCACUGUUAUUUUGGAAUAUUUCACCGCAAGAUCAAUGGAGUUAUGGAGGACUUAUUUCUUACCGAUCCAGCAAUGGAAGAACCUGCAGACUCCACCUUCCAGAAUUACGUACUUAAUUUGACAUAUAUAUUGGAUUAAUAUACAAUAGACUUUGAGACAAGCGUGCAGAGUUAUAGUAAAUGUAGUUUGUUGAGAGCUAGCCUGAGACACAUAUAAAGUCACAUCUCGAGCUCGUAGACCUACACAAAACAGACUAACAUUGAUUACAAAAAUUAUUUUGCGUGUCAUAUAUAUACUAUUUUUGAGACAAUGUCAUGUGAUAUUAGGCUUUGUGAUCAGGGAUUCGGAAAGCAAUACUGUUGCUGCAGUGUCAAAGAACAUUGCAAGAUCGAUCCACAGUAUAAACCAGGUGCGGAUCCAGGAAUCCCAACCAGGUGGAAUUUGGACUGUUAGUAGGAAAACAAAUUUCGAUGGUACUAGAACAAUUUAAAGAUUGAAAAGAAAGAUAAACCUAUACAAGAGGGAUGUAGUGGUCCUUUGACACUUCAAUGCUUGUUUAAUUCAUAAGACUCCCUACACACAAAAAAGCUAAAUAAGCAUUUUAAUAAGACUGACAUCCUCACCGAUGCUACGCGACAAAGGUUAGGCAAGGAAGAAAAGAAUACAACACACAACAAAGACGUAUAUCUUUUAUGAGAAUGCAGAGAAACUUAUCUCUUUCUUUAACAAAAACAAAAUUAAGUAUAUGUUAGGCACUUGGAGCAUGCAGCGCUAGCUAGGACUUAAGUGAUACUAUCCCAAAAAAUAUAUGAUUAGUAAUUGUACAAGAUGAAGGAAUUUGAGUGGGACUUAAGCUCAACAAUUUUACAAUCCACACCAUAAAAUUAAUAAUAACUGUAAGUAGUAAUUUUUUACCUAAAAUAUUUGGGUGGGACUUGAAUCCCAUGUUGCUUGCGCCUAGAUCUGCCCCUGGUACAAACAACAGAGGCUACUGCACUCAGAGAGAGCCUCCUUGCUCAAGAAAAAGAUUUUGAACACAUCCAAUUAAGUAGAGGGAGAUUCAAAGAUGGUUAUUGAUGCUGAUACUGGGAAGAUUAAGCUCUACAUGGAGAAUUCCCAGACUAUUGAAGACAUAAGACUCUUGCAAAGAAAUUUGAGAUGAUUAUCUUCAAUGCAAGCAGCUUGAUAAGUUAGGAAUAGCCAAUAGAUUGUCCUAGAGGCACCUGCUUGAUAAGAAAAAUGUCACGUGAUUUGUUUUGAAAAAAAUAAAUGAUUUGUUUUUGGUCAUAAGUGUCAAUGAUUCAACCACUUGACGUGAUAAACUUGGUCGAGGUGUCUAGUAUAUAUAAAACACAUGUCUAGAGUUCGAGUCCUAACUCCCAACAAUCUGUGGCCAGCAGGUUUAAAUGACAUUUGCGUUCGUGCAUCCGCAACGGGAUAUUAGUUUGGUUUUGCUGGGAUCACUACUAGAAAAAGUCACUUAGGAGACGGAAUUUAAAAAAUUCCGUAGCCUAAGUUCCACUUAACUUAGGAGACGGAAUACAAUUCUGUAGCCUAAGUACUCUCCUAGGCGACGGAAUAAUAUUCUGUUGCCUAAGUGUUACUUAGACUACAUAAAUUUUUACUUAGGAGACGGAAUUGUAUUCCGUCUUCUAAGUAAAGCCUAGGAGACGGACUUUUUUUACUUAGAAGACGAAAUUAUUUAAAAAAAUUUUAAAAAAAUAUUAACCACUUAGGAGACGGAAUUUUUUACUUAAGAGACGGAAUUAUUUUUAAAAAAAAUAUUAACCACUUAAGAGACGGAAUGGUAUUCCGUCGUCUAAUUAGAGCUUAAGAGAGAAUUUUUUACUUGGGAAACUGAAUUAUUUAAAAUAAAAAAAAAAAACAUUAAUAUCUUAGGCGACAAAAUAAUAUUCCGUCGCCUAAGGUUCUAAAAAAUUAAGCGUUAAUGUUUCCGCCUAAAUUUUCACGAAAAUUCAAACCAUUCCUCCGCAUUAAGUGUUUAUGCUCUUUGCUUAGCAUACCAGAGCUCUCUCUCUCUCUCUCAGAAAAAAAAAAAACCUAAAAACUUCUAAUCUCUUAUUUCUUCCUCUCCUCUCCUCNNNCNCNCNCNCUCUCUCUCUCUCUCUCUCUCUCUCUCUCUCUCUCUCUCUCUCUCUCUCUCUCUCUCUCUCUCUCUCUCUCUCUCUCUCUCUCUCUCUCUCUACAAACAAAAAACUUCUAAUCUCUAUUUCUUCCUCCUCCUUUCCUCUUCGAUAUGUUCUCACCUCUCUCCUAUCUCUCUAUAUCUCUACCUCUCCCUCUUCGAUCUGUCCUCUCCCCUCUACUUCGCAGGCGACCUCGACCACCGGCCCUCAAAUCUGGGUCCCCUCCAUCCCCCGCAACGAGUCAGCGACGCUUAAUCUCAAGUUCGUCGCCAUGGCUUCUAUCCUUCUUGCCGGAGUCGUCGGAAUCACCAUUCCUUUGAUCAGGAAGAGCCGGAGGUUUCUCAGCACCGACGGCAGCCUUCUUCCCCUCGCCUCCUCGGAUCGAUCUGGAUCGAGCUUCACUAGUUCUGGCUUUUUUUGGGUUCGACUGCCUUUCCACAAGCUCACAAUCAAUGUAAGCAUCUCACCUUUCCACAACAAAGCCCCCCUCUCUCUCUCGGAUUGAUUCGAUCAGUAUAUGCAGGGCCAUGAGGACAAGAUUGUUGUGCUCGUUUGGACUGUCACCGACGAUGUUGGGGUCAAUGAUUUUUUUGGAAAUUGGGUUCGGGUUUCGAUUUGGUUUGGUUGGAUUGUGGAGCUAGUUGAUUCUGGAUUGGAUUGUGUUAUCGAUGGGUUUCUUAAUUGAAUUGUUGGAUUGCUCUCUAAAGAGCCGUCGUAGUGACGGUGGUGGUACUGAUUGUGGUGGUGGUAGGUGGUGGUGAAGCUAGAAGAAAAGAAAUGGAAACUGAAAAAAGAAAAAGAAAAGAAAUUAUAAAAAUAUUAUUAAAUAAAUAGAAAUUAAAUUUAAUUAAUUAAAAUAAUUACUAUUUUUAAAUUUUAAAUUCCGUCUCCUAAGCACUUAGGAGACGGAGACGGAAAUAAUUCUGUCGCCUAGGUACUUAGGAUUAUUUCCGUCGCCUAGGUGCUUAGGAGACGGAACACAUUCCGUCGCCUAAGUAAUUCUCAGUCGAUGAAAUGUAAUUUUCUGUCGUCCCGACACCUACCUCACCGCACUUAGGCAACGGAUCUUAGGCGACGAAUAUUCCGUCGUCUAGGUACUUAGGAGACGAAUUUUGUUACUUGGGAGACGAAACUAUUCGGUCUCCUAAGUGACUUUUUCCAGUAGUGGAUACUCUCUUAUUGGCCUCGAUCCUAAUACUGAACUGAGAUGGAUUGCUACUUCACUGCCAAUAAAAGAAAAGUGAUGUUUUAAAGCAAUUAAUCAACAAUCAAGGUUAUAUUACACAAUUAAAUUAUAUUAGCCCGGACAACCACUUGUACAAUAGUCUAAAUUAAAUAAUUAUCCCAACACAACCCUAAAGCUCUCUCUCUCUCUCNNNNNNNNNNNNNNNNNNNNACCUACCUCUCUCUCUCUCUCUCUCUCUCUCUCUCUCUCUCUCUCUCUCUCUCUCUCUCUCUCUCUCUCUGAGUCGGCAACAAACCACAAAAUCCCACCCUCGUCCGGCGGUGGUCUAAGGCUAGGUGGGUCUUUUGGUCGCACCGACACCGUAUGACUUUGCUGUUAUAUGAAGGAUAUGUCAGCAACCCAUUGCUUGGAGGGGUAAUUGACCAGAAGUUCUUAAUACCUUUUGAUCAACGUGGUUUUUCAGAUCGAGUUGGAGGUAUGGCACACCAUGGAAACCGACUUGUGGAGUAGAUUUGAUUCCAUCUUCCCAAAUGGCGGUGACGGCAUAAAAUCUUUAUCCUUGUUUUUCAAGGGAGGAAUUCUUGGUUUGGAGGAGGUGUUGCUGGACUCUGUGUUUGUGGCGAAGAUGGUAUUUUUUUCUUCCCGUGGUGUGCUUACAGCUACGGGACUCGAUGACAACUUUCUUCCAUGUCUUGCCUGCAACUGUGAAGGAAGGCUGGGCUGGUUAACUGUUUUGGUCUUAGGUUUAAUUCUUUUGUGGGCUUUGGGUUACUAUUUUAUUUUCUAGUUUUCUAUUAAAUAAUUUUUUUUUCAUUAGGAUCCUAAGCACUUUUUUGUGUCUCAUGACGUCUUAUGACGUUGUGAGUCUAUUUUUCUAUUAGUUUUUUUUCUUUCUAAUUUUACAGUUAUUGGGAUCUUAGCUUAUAAUCUAUUUUCUAUUAGAUUGUAGACUCACUUUAUUUUUAAGUGAGCUGAAAUUGUAAUGAGGGUACUACCCAUGGGUGACUUCAAUGAUCUUAUUCGUCCUCUGGAGGACACAAGGUGGUAGAUCGAAUCAUUUUGUAACCUUUACUUGACUAUGAAUGACAAAACUGUCUUUAGUUAAAAAAAGUAAUGGUCUAAAAUAAUUUUUCACCUCUCUUCGUGACCUUAACUGUAUGUUAAAUUAAUAUGGAAAAUCUGGGUAUAUUUAUACAGAUUGAUAAUAGUUUAUGAUCAAGUUG